ACUUGCAGGCCAACCAUCUUCUAUCCCGUCCCAUGUGUGGCUCUCCUGUUCUCUCCAUCCAUUUCUUCUCUCCCGCAUGCUCCCAACAGCCUUAUCCCUUUGCACCUGUGGCUCGUGUUUUCCCCAUCCAUCCCUUUCUUCUAUCCCAGCGGCAUCUCCUGGGCGAGCACCGGCGAGAGGGUGGGCGGCGGCGCUUCCUGGGGAGAGCACCGGCGAGGUCGCGCGGCGGCGCCUCCUGGGGCGAGCACCGGCAAGGGAUGAGGAGCGUGGAGGGGGGAUGGAAGACCCUCGCGGAAUCGCAGACCCUCCUCCGCUGCCUCUCCACCGUGCCACCCUCCUCGUCCUCGUCGCCGUCCUCAUCGGCGCUCUUUCCUCCACCGCUCGCGCCGAUCUCGUCAUCUCAUCGGAGGGCUGAUCUGACUUCGCGUCGUUUGCAUCCUCGCUUCCCUCGAGGGAUAACAUGAUCUCAUCGUCUGUUAUUUCAUUGGGUCGGCAAACUAGUAUUCCAAAGGGAUAACAUGAGCUCUUAACCUCUUCUUUGAUUGGGUUGGCACACCGGUUGCAGCAGUUGUUUUGUUACCGCAACAGGAGCAAUAUCUGUCAUCAGUUUGGGCAGCCUCUGCGGCAGUGGAUUCAAUGGACUCGACACAGCACAUCCAUCCAGAUUCUGACACAAGCAGUUUAAUUUUUGUGAUGUAGCAUUUUAUUUUGUAAUUGGAGAAUCUGGGGAAUAUAUUUUCCCUCAUGAGUCUACUUGUUGCUCGAAUCUAGAAAUAAAGUUGUAGAUGAUGGCAGCAUCAAAAUACUUAUUCGA